rnacentral:rRNA from 1 species
GAUGAACGCUGGCGGCGUGCCUAAUACAUGCAAGUCGAGCGAACGGACGCGACUCUUGCUUCUCUCAUGUUUGCGGCGGACGUGUGUGUCACACGUGGAUCCUCUCCCUAUCAGUCUGGGAUCUUUUCGGGAACCCGGCUCUUAUACCGUAUAAUAUUUUGCUCCGUAUUGUUCAAUAGUGAAAUUCGGUUUUUCUGUCUCUUAUCGCUGGUUCCGGGCUGCAUUAUCUAGUUGGUAAGGUCACGGCUUACCAAGGCAACGAUGCAUAGCCGACCUGAGAGGGGGAUCGGCCACACGGGAAGGGAGACACGGAAAAGACGCCUACGGGAGGCAGCAGUAGGGAAUCGUCCGCAAUGGGCGAAAGCCUGACGGAGCAACGCCGCGUGAGUGAUGAAGGUCUUCGGAUCGUAAAACUCUGUUAUUAGGGAAGAACAGAUGUGUAAGGAACUGUGCACAGCGUGACGGUACCUAAUCAGAAAGCCACGGCUAACUACGUG